UAGAAUUGUUGGAACUAGAUAAUUCAUCACUCUGUGGCCAAGAUGAGCCUCCCACCAUUUCUGGAAGCUGGAACUAGGACAAGGAACAGAUAGCCAUUAAAUUCAACUUUACCAACUUGAAUCGCCCAAUCCACAGAUGAAGUGGGGGAAAGCAGUGGCGAGAACGGAGUUGCAGGUGCAAUGUUGGUCAGAACAAGAGAGAAGAGAACUCUUUCACAUGCCUGUCUUCAGCUUGCUACACUAGAGACUUUAAGGAACUUUCCAUUGGGUGAAAUCUAGGAGUCUCUCUUCUGGUUGAACUGAGUUACCUCAUUCCACAAGAGAUCUCCCUCACACAAUAUUGCCUGGUAUGUAUACUCUUAUGUACACCCUCUAUUUUGCCACUGUUGUGGUUGCCAUUUGACUUGGAUAAAUAUGUUUCUUUCUUACCUGCUAUGUGUUUUCAUUGUGUAACUGUUAUUUGAUGGGAAUUUAGUCAAGCCUUGGAUAUUAAACAUGGAGUCCUACUUCUCCAAUU
rnacentral:lncRNA from 1 species